CGGAAGUUUUAAAUAUCAUCUGUGUGCUGUACCUGAUGUCAUGGCUUCUGUCAGUCACUUCUAUUUAAGAAACCCGAAGAAUAGCAGAGGAUAAUGAGAGCUGUGGGACUUUCCUUGUCAUACUGACAGGUUAGCGGAAGCAGUGUAAAGAGGAAACCAUUUAAAUUCUAAGCAGUAUGAUUUUGGAUUUGGAAUAGGAAAAACAAAAAGACAGGCACAGUGUAUAUCACUUACAUGCUGAUCAUCCAUAUCCUGAAUACCAUCACUCUCUUUCCCAUUAAUUGUAGGAUUUUUGCAGAAGUUAAUAGGAGAUGAGUUGCUGUCACUCUUACUGUGUCCUGGACUUCUUAUGCUGCUGUCAGUGUUGGGCCGUGAAGAGACAAAGAGGCUGAUAUUAUCAAAAUCAUCAUCACAGAAACUGUUUUCCGCUAUGUCCUUCUGCACCUUGGCCGGAUUGUAAGGCUUCAGGAAGGAGGAAUACACAUACCCUUUAAGGACUAGAUAUCGGAAUAAGAGAGAAAAAUAAAGAUUUCAAAACCAACCAUUUCAUGCAGCUGUCAGUAUGACAGAGGCAAACAGAUGGGGCCAGAAUGAGCAGAAAUCAACAGCCCAAAGAAAAGCUGCUAUUGGGAUGUUUAUACAAAUAACUUACUUCCUGUGUCAACAAGCCAUCUGCUUGUACUUCCGAAGGGGUCCUUUUGCUCCACAACAGCCACCAGUUCUCCUUCAUGUAAAUCAAUAUCGAAUUCCUGUGUGGCAUUGCAUUUGCGCUUAGCUUGAUACAGCAGUUCUGCACUGUACAUAGACAACAGCUUGGACCUGUGAUCUUCUGUUUGAUGUGGGGUUUCGAGCUGAAAAGAAAGGCCAUUUCUAGAGCAACAAGGAUGCAUAAAAGAAACUAGUGUAUACUGUAUGUGGCCAUAGGCUCUGUAUUUUUUACAUGCAGAUCAAGGAAUUAUUUAAAUUUAUAUUAUAUAAAAAAAUCAGUAGUCUCCAAGUGGUCUUCUGUUUGUAUGAAAUUACCUUGCUCUGUAAGGGCGAGAUGCUAUGAACUGCUUAAACCACAUCCAGUCACGGUUUGCUAAGAGGGCGGAGAGGGAGGUGCUGCACACCAGUGUGACCAUAGCACAUCACACUAGCAAUAGCAUCUGUGUCUUAUUGAUGCUAAAAGGAAUCCUGCAGCUUCCUUGGUUUCUCCAGUAAAUCUGCACCUGAGUUUUUAUUUUACUGUAAACUAGAUUCCUAAAAGCUUUGGUAGUGUCUAAUUAGAUGGGGAACUAGGCACACACAGAUUUCCUGCUGGAUUUUCUGCAUCUCCUGAUCUGGGUGUAUGUAUAUAUAUAUGUGUGUGUGUGUGUAUAUAUGUGUUUUUUAUAUACGUUAUGUAUAAAUAUACACACAGAAAUACACAAAGGAUCAUAGAUGAAAAAGAGAAGCAAAAAGUUGUUAAUCAAAAGAUUAAGAUGCACAGUAAGACUAUUGAAAAAGAGAAGCAAUUGAACUUUGCAUGUACAGUCUUACAGUUAACGUGCUUAAAGACCUGAGGAUUGUCAGAGAUGAUUUCAGGUCAAGUUUCAAGAUACUAACAUGAAAAGAGAGCGGAAAACCUUCAGAAAUUACUGGUGAAUGGAAAAGCCUCAUUCCAACAACCCAAUUCAGGUUCCCAAUGAAGGGACCCAGCACAAACCUCUAGGUGGCAUAAAACCAGAUUUGUUUCAAAAGUGAUCAAAAGAGGAUGCUUCAUACACGAUUCAAAAGUAUGACACAAACCAGAGUUGGGACAGGCUUCUUUUUUUCCAAGCUCAAUUUUCUCUCAAUAAAGGUUGCACUGCUGUUUUCUUUUACAAAAUUCAGCUUGUGAACCUCCUCCAUCAACUGAUUCUGCACUUCACAGAUGCUUGAGGAAGACAGCUGCAAACAAAAAGGUGGAUUAGAUCUCACGAACAAGAUGCUACAAGUGAGUGUGAAGUGCUGUGUUCAACCCCUGGUGGAAGGGAAUACUCCAGAAAGACCUAACUACAGUGUGUUUCAUAUGUAGAGUCUUGUCCAGUCACAGUCACCUAAACACGGCUCCACUUCAGGUCCAGCUCUUCUCCUGUUGACCUCUGAAGGUAGCUGUUAUAGUCCAACAACUUGUCGUAGCGCUUCUGGAUGAGCUUCUGUGGGCCUGGAAACAAGGCUUGUAGUGCUAAGAGGGGAGCCAAAAUGAGCUUGUUCAAUUGAGCCAUCUGGAAAGGAGAAGAUGCAAAGAACACCAUGGAUUGUUCAUUGAGAACAUCUGCUCAUUAUGCAAGGGCCUUUCACAGAUUCGGGCACACAAAUAUGAAACCAUUUGAGACCAGACACUUUGAUGUCACUUGCUGUAAUCUUGUGUGAAAAUGCCUGAGAUGAUGAAAACCUUGUCAUCAGUCCUUGCCUUGGGAAGAGUGAGUUAAGGCUUCAACAUGGCAAGUCUGUAACUUCUGGAUUUGUUGCAUUUCAGUGCUGCUGACCUGCUGGAUGUCCAGAAACUGCAGCCUUGAUAUUAACUCUCCUUUAUGGCUUUUCAAAGAUGCAACAUUUGGCUCAGAAGUCCCUUAACCACAACUUAUUGGAGGCUGGGUGAGUGUUCUGGCAAAGCGUUGUUAUAAGCUUGUUCUCUUCUGAUGUUCUUCCAGCCACUGUCAGAGGGAAUAUCCUGGGAAAGAUGGACCUCAUAUACUUAGGGCUACAGAAAGGUCGUCACUUUAGAAAUAGCUUUACAUGCAAACCUAAUGUAUGUUGAGCAGGUUUACAAAGGCCUGCGCAAAAUUAUUUAAGAGUGCCUGGAUUUCAAAGACCUCACUGUGUUGUUGAGAAGCACUCCUGAGAACUUCAGAACUCUCUGAGCGCAUUUAAUAGACAACAAGGUGAUAAUAAAGGGCUCUGAAUGGGUUGGCAAGCAGAUUAAAUCGCUUCACAAAGUACAAGUUUUGGAAGAUGCAGCCAAGCUAGUGCACUGGUUAAUUAGCAAACCAGACAGUUACAGGAAUUAAAACUGGAAGUCUUUAUCACUUAUAUCCUGGAGAAAUCUAUGGGUUAUGCUGAAACAAAAUGCUUGUGUUCUUAACAUUUCCAAAUGUACAGUUCUAAGUGUGUUUAAGAUAAAGAUAUUUAAAAGCUUAUUUUACAUCUGAAAAAGGCAUAGUACUUACUCUUCCUCGUAUAUCUUUCUGCAAAAGGAGAAAAAGAAAACAUAUAUUAGCUUUGUCCUGAAAGGAUUUAUACCAAUCAUGGGCCAGAUUCCCAGAUACACUUCAGUGACACAGAGCAGCCAUAACUGGCCAGUUAAGUUAGCUUUAUGGCUGCUGUGUGUCAGCAGAAUUGCACAAAACAGCCAGAGGGUACCAGUGAAUCUGGCCCUACAUCUUUGUGAAAAGACAGCCCAAAUGAGAAAGGAUUGUCAGGAACCUGGCUUUAGUUACCCUUCUCCUAACAGUAUUAAAACCUGUUAUUCUCAUACAGUUAAAACACAUAAUCCUUAGGCUUUAUAAACAUCCCCCUCUAUUUUAUUUAAACAGAAAUGUAUUUCUAAAUGAGAAAGAAUGUAUUUCAGCCUUUUAGGAUAUAGAUUCAAUGAUGAUAUUAAGGUUUUUUUUGUAGGAUACACAUCAGCUGAAACCUCUUUAUAGUUGAAUAGUGUCUAUAUAUGUAGUCAAAACAGCACAGAGAUACAGCUGUAGUUUGAAAACACUCAGAUAUGCACAAAGAAUAUUUUUUUAAUGGUAUGAUUAAACUUAGAGAAGAUCACCUAACUGCAUGGGAACCAAAAUGUCACCCCAUCACUAUGUUAGACUUUUCUGGUAUUAAGUCCUGACAUCACAUUGUCAGCCACUGCUAUCUGACUGCUUCCACUAAUACCUCCUUGCCCACUAAGGGCUAACUGAGCAUCUGGAAGCUGGUGCUUUCAUUGCUUCUGCACUGUCAGCUCUGGGAGUGCCUGUGAUAUCUCUGCCUUUGUAAUAGUUGACCAAGCUAGUUCAGACUGAAAGCAGAGCAGGUAGUUGCCAGCAUCCUUUCAUUUUUACCAGCUGCAUUUCCUUGGCUAAGUUAGGAAACAACAUCCCCAGCUUGCAUGAUCGCUGCUGAAACACGGGAUUCUACAGAACUGGUUUUUACAUGUAUCUCCAAGGCAGACACCUACAUUUUGGGAAAGAAUUCCUCCUCUUCAGUCAGCAGAAAGAAUAGGAAUAUAAGCCUGGCUAAUUAAAUCUGAUUUGCCUGUACAGAUGUGCAGAGUGCCACUCUCAAGAUGCUCCUAAUAUAGAAGUCAUUUUUAACAUGGCACGUGUGGCUUAGCUGAAGAAGAGAAGCCCACAGUAAUGCCAGCCCACUUUAACUUUUUAAAAAUAUGACAAUAUUCUUCUCAAGGAAAAAAUAUUUAAGAAGUAAACAUUGUUCAAGAGUAGCAGUCAGUGGCCCCUGAAUACAUUGUAGCUCACAAUGGAAAACAGUCAGUAACUUAUUUGGUAAGAAUGCUGCAUAAAUUUCCUCCUAAGACAAGUAUUCUCUAAUCAGUAGUAACAGGUUUAGAUAACCACAGCUCCACAUUUGAAUGUGUACUUUCAGGCUUAACAUUUCAAUUGGUUGCAAUUUUUAGCCACUGGGAAAAAAAUACAAUAUAAUACAUGUAAUGGUGGUUUUUUUCCAUUGGUUCCUGUUUAAAGGCUAAUAGGAAAGAAUGAGAUAAAAAAGGCUUCAUUGUGAGGUAGUUUUUGUCACUUCCUGCUAGCCAAGGCUACAAUGGCUCAGCAGAAAAUAUCCUUUCUGUUCACAAAUCCCGGCUGUGAUAUUGGAACAGGAGCUUCUCUUACUGGCUCUAGAAUUGAAGUAGCAACAUCCACCCUAACAUGUACAUAGGUGCUAUCUUUUAACUUUAUUUCCUUCCACAGUCUCUUGCCUCAGCAGUAGGGAUGAGUGAAUGACAGCUGCAGCUUCUCUUGAUUAGCUGGAAAAAAAUAUUGUAGGAGUCAGCAACUGAAACACCCCCUUAGGGGAGAUACCUGGCCAUCCAUUAGCCUGAAAGCCUGAGUUUAUCUGAAAAUCUAUUUCUUCCAACUUCCAGGGUAGCUAAAGCCUAAGCAUCCUCCACACGUACUUUGUUAUGUAUUUAAUAACCAGACAUGUUGCACAAGGAAGCCUUAUUUUCAACACAACCGGUCUUCUAAGUAAACAUUUCUCUUUUGAUUUGUUAAUGUUUUUCUCUACCACCAUUUCCAGAUUUCAUUCAGAUAUAUUUCCUAUGUCCUAAGUCUUAGCACCUCUCUACAGACUGAUCAUUAGCUGAGGUAUAAUUGAAAUGCCUGUCAUUGAUAUACGUGCCAUUAAUUAAGUAUUUGUGAUAGCUUUAUAUCUCUCCUAGAAGCAUGCAGGCUUUUCUAGAGCUCAACUUCUGAUCUGAAAGGCAGCGGUCUGCUCCCUUUUGACAGUUCUGUGCUACAUUUUUGAGAAAAUGAGGGGGAAAGGGAAUUUGCAGGUGGAAAGAGAAGAGCUCUCCGUGGAAAAGGUGAGGUGGUUCACGUGACUGGGUUCAGGAAGAAGUCACGCUGGAGGAAAGAUCCAUUACUUUGCUGCACUCCAGUUCUCGACAGGAUUUUUCUAUGGAGCUGGAGCUGGAGGCAAAGAAACUAAGCAAAUUCCGCUGUCUGGACAUGACAGCUUCGUUCAACACCAGCCACUUUCGAAUAUCCCCAUCACGAGGUAUCCAGCACUGCAAUAACUCCAAAUCCCUGGGGCCUUACAGUAUAGCUGGGGCACAGAGACACCAUCCCGUAUGAUUUUAAUUCAAACAAUAGAAUUGCUGAAAAUGGGGGCAGUACGUUUCCUGGAGCUGGGCAAGGUGUUCCCAACAGCCCAUUAUAUGAUGCAGCAUUUUUUUUGCCAGUAUGGGGCACUGAAGCUAAAGGAACAGAAACCUUUCUUGUGCUAUUUUUGGCCAUCUUAGAGAGAAAGAAAUCUAAUCAUGGCCCCUGGCUUGUCAUCUUUUCAUGAAAGCAGCAUAAGCCAGAGCUCCCAGCAAGCCUUAUAAAACUCUGGAUUUACAGGGGACCUUUCAUCUACAUCCAUUUAAAAUGUUCCCUGCCAGGCAACUGACUAUGGACGGAAAUCAUCAUUUGAAAAGAUCUUACUUUAAGGACUGUACACAGUGUCUUAAAUGCUGCUUCAGUUCUUCAUCCUUUUCAUAGGAUUCCAGCAUGGUGUGUGCAUCAUCGUGGCGAUAGCAGUAGAUUUUAUAUGUGUCUUCUAGUGGGCCUUUAAUCUGCAAGAACACUUCCCCUGUUAAAGAGAAAAACAAAGCGUGUCAAGCCAGACAACCGCGUCUCAGAAGGAGUUUUAUUAUUCCACCACAUUAGCCGUGAGCUAAAAAGACUGGUUUCCACUUUACUUUCCUUAGAAAUGAUCUUGUGUGUUUAUGUGCAUUAUUUAUUACAUGUAUUUCUCAGCUGCUCAUCUUUGUCAUAGCUGGGCACCAUUACAGCAGUGUUAAUGCACAAAAAUUCUCUUAGGAAAAGGGAUGAAAUCGCCACACCCUGCACCCCUUCAUACACAGCCCCCUAAUUCACUGCCCCAGCUGAAUGCCUCUUACAUGAAAACCAAGCAGGAGGGCUUAGCUCUUAAGGGGUGACCAUUUUUUGUUCUGGGCUGUAAGCAUGUUAAUUGUCCUUUUGACUUUUUUUCAACUGAAUAUGAACUUAAAUGAGUUGUAACAGGAAUAACGACGCCAUCUCCCAUUAGCCAUUUCACUUCUAUCAUCUGUUUUGCAGAAUCCCGAAAUGGCAAUUGUUACAGCCAUAAAAAAAAACAUGUGAAAAAACCAUGUGAAAAAAACAUGACAGAAGAACAAGCUCCACCUGUCCCCUAAUUAAAUAAAACCACUGUGGAUUGCAGCCAUUUUUAUACACAAUUUGGGUUUACAUACAACUGAAAGGGAGAAAACAUUUACAUUUCCAGUCCUCUACAACACCAUUUUUUCCCUCAAAGAACAGUUGGGAUUUUUAGAGGCACUAAAGUAGUAAUAUACCCAUUUUCUAUUGAAUUCUGGUGCCUAAUUCUCGCAGCCUAAAACUCUUGUGCUGGUUUCUGUGUAUCUAAGAAAUAUUAUGCAAGUGGAAAAGGCAUGCUUCCUCUCUUUCGCUGAGAUAUUCGUUCUUACACCCAUAUGUAAGAGUACCCUGAUCAACAUCCUUGGAAAUGCAUAUAAUAAAUAGCAACAACAGUGAAAACUACUGUCUCAAGCACUUACUGAAAAAUUACAUCUGUAUGGUAACCAGUCAGAUGUUUUCUAAACAUCCCUGUUGAGUUAUAGCAAUGAUUAUUAAAGUUAAAAGCCGAACACCACAUUAAUUGGGAGCUCUCUAUUCAUUCGCAGAGUGAGCACAAAGCUGUCAGGCAUCCUGCAUGUUUCAUCCUGACCAGAGUGGGCUGUUUCAUAAUACAUUGCAUUGAACUGCUCUGUCUUAAAGUGAAAAAUGAUUCAGUUACCACAGUAACACAGCUCUGGGUUUUUUCCCCUAGCAGCGAAGGUUAACUGGGCUGUCUAAUGCAUGUUGGUUUCAAGGUGUGAAUAAGGGAACAACAAUGACUGAGCUAAGACCACGGAAGUUCGUUUAGUUACUGUAAGGCCACGGUCGGAAAAGCACCAGCAUCCUAUAGUCAAAUGUUCUUUAGCUGUCUCUCAUCUCUGUCUUCUCUGUCUCGUGCUAAAUGUUAAUGCUGACUCCUGAAAAUGCACAUUUGCAUCCUGGCUUUCCCAUGAACUCGCUAUACAGGCCUUUAUUAACCAACAUUGUAAGGGAAAUCAUAACAAGCUUUCCUGUGAUUCUGCUCCCUCGGGGCCUGAUUUUCAGAGAUGCUGAGUUCUCACAAUUUUCACUAACUUCAGCCAGAGGUCAUGUUUUCUGUAGCCAAAAUGCAAACUAUAGACUUACUGUUCAUUUCAGUGUACACUAGAGGCAGAGAAUUAUCAUCCUCUCCUCCAGAAUAAAGGAGAUGAGCAAUAUCUGUUCAUUAAUGCAUUGUCCCAUAAUGGCAAAUAUUUUCAUUGAUGCUAAAUGAUGAGAAAAAUGAUGUGCUGAUUUCAUAGACAGGUCCUUCUCAGAGCAGGCAUAUUUCUUAAGCCUAAAGCUCUUCUUGGUCCCAAGCCGUAUGGCCUGAAUCAGCUGAGCUGGGCAUAUCACUGUGGGAGCUUGCUAUAUGGGCCAAAAAUGGAUUGUAUUUGGGCACAGGCUUAAAUAUACGCUGAAUCUUUUGCACAGUCUGAUGAAUCCAGCUUUGCCUGAUGCCUAUUCUUGAGUGUGAUGGUCAGACAGUCUUGAAGAGAAAAUCCUAGGGAGAAGACUUGAGCAACAGAAACAGUUUCUCCCUAGGGCUUUCAGUAGUGCUUUCUGUUUCGACAGCAGAGGGAGAUGGAGGAAGGAGGAGUCAAAUAAUGAAAGCCAGGGUAAGAUCUAAACCAUCAUAUUCCUCCACAUGCAGUGACUAGAACAGAGAGGGGGAAAAAAAGUGAGAGAGAACUGGAAAGGGCAAUUUUCUCUCUGCUGUGCAUAGCUUUAAAAGACCAAACAACACAAGAGAUGUGUCUACAUUAGCAUUUUAGCUCAGAUUAGGAGAGUGCACUCAGUAGUCCCUGUUUCCCUGUUUCGCUUGCACAGUGGAACAGUUGCAGACACGCAAACUGUCUUCUUUGGGGGUGGCAAGUACCAGAAAAUGCACUCUGAAGGCACAUCUUAUGAAGUCCAGCCAUAGAAGGGACCUCUCAGUCCACAGGUACGGGUUAAAGCUAAUCCGAAGUAAACGCCCUAAAACGUGUAGUAUCGACGUCUGGUCUUUAGCACGAACUGUUUUGCUCUAUACAUCUGCUCCCAUUGGACCCCACUGCUUGUUAAUGUGGACAUAGCCUGAGAUGCACAGAGCAUACCUCAACCUCACCAUGACUGGGGUGCCUUCCAAAAGAAGAUUUUUCAGUGCAAGAUGUUUAAAUACCAUAAACCUGCUGGAAUAGGAUGGGUAUGUUAAAUAGAUUAUCUUCAGCCCCCUUUUUACAGAAAUUGGCUUUAACAACCUUUACACUGACUGUGAGGAUCCUGAAGACAAAAUGGUCAUCUACUAUACUUUCA